rnacentral:rRNA from 1 species
UGCAGUCGAACGAAGUCUUCGGACUUAGUGGCAAACGGGUGAGUAACGCGUUGGUAUCUACCCCCAUCUCGGGCAUAAUUCACCGAAAGGUGGACUAAUUCCCGAUAGUCUCUUCGGAGUAAAGAUUUUUCGGGUGGGGAGGAACCUGCGUCCUAUCAGCUUGUUGGUAAGGUAAUGGCUUACCAAGGCUAUGACGGGUAGUUGGUCUGAGAGGAUGACCAGCCACAAUGGGACUGAGACACGGCCCAUACUCCUACGGGAGGCAGCAGUGAGGAAUUUUGCGCAAUGGACGAAAGUCUGACGCAGCAACGCCGCGUGAAGGAUGAAAUAUUUAGGUAUGUAAACUUCUUUUAAGAGGGACGAAGUAUGACGGUACCUCUUGAAUAAGCAUCGGCUAACUACGUGCCAGCAGCCGCGGUAAU